rnacentral:snRNA from 1 species
GUGCUCACUUCAGCAACACAUAUGCUAAAAUUGGAACAAUAGAUUAGCCUGGCCCCUAUGCCUGGAUAACAUGCAAAUUCAUGAGGGGCUCAUUGUUUUC